rnacentral:lncRNA from 1 species
GUAGUAUUGGAUGGUGAUCCAUAAGAGUUAAAUGAUGGCGAAUUCAGUGCAAUUCAAAACAGGUUCGCAAGAUUUCUAGCAGAGGAUGGGGCAUGCAGUCACCUAGGUAAACCCGGUGCUUUGAGAGAGUUAGCGAAAUUAGAUCUCUGCACAUGGGAUUGGAAUCUGUUGGAGGGUUUUAUGCUGGUUGAUGAAGUAGAAUACGAAGCGCAGCAGGAAUAUAUUGGCUAAUGAUGGAGGAUGCAGCGGUUUCAAGCAUAGCAACGGGUCAGUGACGGGUGGUAACAUUAUUAUCAUUGACUGACUGACACGAGGCAACAG